CAGGUCGGACAGACAGUCGCCGCGUAUCGCGUAAGGCAUACGGGGAGGAAAGUCCGGGCUCCGCAGAGCAGGAUGCCGGCUAACGGCCGGGCGCGGAAACGCGACGGAAAGUGGAACAGAAAGCAAUACCGCCGACGGCCGCCUUCGGGCGGCACGGGUAAGGGUGAAAAGGUGCGGUAAGAGCGCACCGUGCACUUGGUAACAAGGCGCAGCAGGCUAAACCCCAUCCGGAGCAAGACCAAACAGAACGCAUUGACGCUGCUCGCCGAGCGUUCGGGUAGGUUGCUGGAGUGCAUCAGUAAUGGUGUGCCUAGAGGAAUGACUGUCCAAGACAGAACCCGGCUUACCGUCCGGCCUGUAUG
rfam:Neisseria mucosa ATCC 25996 N_mucosa-1.0.2_Cont21.1, whole genome shotgun sequence.